CAUGUGUUUAAAAUCAGGUUGUGUGUUGUUCACAGUCAGUUACAGAUUGAUCUCCUUGUUCUACUCUUUCCCCCUUUCUCACUACUGCACUUGACUAGUCUUUA
ensembl:misc_RNA Y_RNA Y RNA